rnacentral:rRNA from 1 species
GCGGAGGAAAAGAAACCAACAGGGAUUGCCCCAGUAACGGCGAGUGAAGCGGCAACAGCUCAAAUUUGAAAUCUGGCCCGCCUGCGGGGCCCGAGUUGUAAUUUGCAGAGGAUGCCUUGGCGACGCGCCGGCCGAGUGCCUGGAAUGGGCCGCCGUAGAGGGUGAGAGCCCCGUACGGCCGGACGCCGAGCCCGUGUAAGGCUCCCUCGAAGAGUCGAGUAGCUUGGGAAUGCUGCUCUAAUCGGGAGGUAAACCCCUUCUAAAGCUAAAUACACGCCAGAGACCGAUAGCGCACAAGUAGAGUGAUCGAAAGAUGAAAAGCACUUUGAAAAGAGAGUCAAACAGCACGUGAAAUUGUUGAAAGGGAAGCGCUUGCGGCCAGACUUGCGCCCGGCGGCUCAGUCGUCCCUGUGGGCGGCGCACUCCGCCGGGCGCAGGCCAGCAUCAGUUCGUGGUCGGGGGGAAAGGCGGCGGGAACGUGGCUCCUAGGAGUGUUACAGCCCGCCGCUACGCCCGCCCGCGGACUGAGGUCCGCGCCA